rnacentral:lncRNA from 10 species
GCAGAGCUUGGACAAGUGUUACAUCACCUGGGUGAUCAGUGCAGAGAUAUGUCAAAACGCUCCUGUAGGCUGAACCUAGACAGGAGUUACAUCACCUGCGUGAUCACUGCAGAGAUAUGUCACAAUGCCCCUGUAGGCAGAGCCUAGACAAGAGUCCCAUCACCUGGGUGAUCAGUGCAGAGUUAUGUCACAAUGCCCCCUUUUGGCAGAGCCUAGACAAGGGUUACAUCACCUGGGUGAUCAGUGCAGAGAUAUGUCACAAUGUCCCUGUAGCCAUAUCCUUGACAAAAGUGACAUCACCUGGGUGAUCAGUGCGGAGAUAUGUCACAAUGUCUCCAGUAGGCAGAGCCUAAACAAGAGUUACAUCACCUCUGUGAUCAGUGCAGAGAUACGUCACAAUGCCCCUGUAGGCAGAGCCUAGACAAGAGUUACAUAACCCAGGUGAUCCGUGCAGAGUGAUGUCACAACGCCCUCUGUAGGCAGAGACUAGAAAAGAGUUACAUUACCUGGGUGAUCUGUGCAGAGAUAUGUCACAAUGUACCCUGUAGGCAGAGCACAGAGAAGAGUUGCAUCACCUGGGUGAUCAGUGCAGAGAUAUGUCACAAUGUCCCCUGUAGGCAAAGCCUAGACAAUAGUUACAUCACUUGGGUGAUCAGUGGCGAGAUCUCUCACAAUUCCCCUGUAGGCAGAGCUUAUACAACAGUUACAUCACCUGGGUGAUCAGUGCAGAUAUAUGUCACAAUGCCCCCAUAGGCAGAUCCAAGACAAGAGUCCGUCUCCUGGGUGAUCAGUGCAGAAAUACGUCACAAUGCCCCCUUAGGCAGAGCCUAGACAAAAGCCCCAUCACCUGGAUGAUUAGUGCAGAGUUAUGUCACAAAGUCCCUUUAGGCAGAUCCUAGACAAGAGUCCCAUUACUUGGGUGAUCAGUGCAGAGAUAUGUCACAAUGCCACUGUAGGCAGAGCCUAGACAAGAGUUACAUGACCUAGGUGAUCAGUGCAGAGAUACAUCGCAAUGCCCCUGUAGGCAGAGCCUUGACAAGUGGUACAUCACCUGGGUGAUCAUUGCAGGGAUAUGUCACAAAGCACCCUGUAGGCAGAUCCUAGAGAAGAGUUAUAUCACCUGGGUGAUCAGUGCAGAGAUAUGUCACAAGCCCCCUGUAGGCAGAGCCUAGACAAGAGUUAUAUCACCUGGGUGAUCAGUGCAGUCAUAUGUCACAAUGCUGUGUAGCCAGAGCCUAGACAAAAGUUACAGCACCUGGGAGAUCAGUGCAGAGAUAUGUCACAAUGUCCCCAGUAGGCAGAGACCAGGCAAGAGUUGGAUCACCUCGGGAUCAGUGCAGAGAUAUGUCUCAAUCCCCCUGUGGGCACAGCCUAGACAAGAGUUACAUCACCUCGGUUAACAGUGCAGAGAUAUGUCAAAAUGCCCCUGUAGGCAGAGCCUACACAAGUAUUACAUCACUUAGGUGAUCAGUGCAGAGAUAUGUCACAAUACCCCCUGUAAGCAGAGCCUAGACAAGAGUUACAUCACCUGGGUGAUCAGUGCAGACAUAUGUGACAAGGCCCCUUUAAGCAGAGCCUAGACAAUAGUUACAUCACCUGAGUGAUCAGUGCAGAGAUCUGUCACAAUGCCCCUUUAGGCAGAGCUUAGACCAGAGUUACAUCACCUGGGUGAUCAGUGCAGAGGUAUGUCACAUUGCCCCCAUAGGCAAAUCCAAGACAAGAGUCAGUCACCUGGGUGAUCACUGCAGAAAUAUGUGACAAUGCCCCCAGUAGGCAGAACCUAGAGAAGAGUCCCUUCACCUGGGUGAUCAGUGCAGAGUUAUGCCACAAUGCCCCCUGUAGGCAGAGCCUAGACAAGAGUUACAUCAUCUGGUUGAUCAGUAAAGAGAUAUUUCUCAAUGCCCCUGCAGGCAGAGCGUAAGCAAGAGUUACAUCACCUAGAUGAUCAGUGCAGAGAUACGUCACAAGGCCCCCUAUAGGCAGAGCCUGGACAAGAGUUACAUCACCUCGGUGAUCAAUGCAGUGAUAUGUCACUGUGCCCCGUAGGCAGAGCCUAGUCAAGCGUUACAUCACCUGGGUGAUCAGUGCAGAGAUAUGUCAGAAAGCCCCCAUACACAGAGCCUAGACAAGAGUCCCAUCACCUGGGUGAUCAGUGCAGAAAUAUGUCACAAUGCCCCUAUAGGCAGAUCCAACACAAGUGUUACAUCACCUGGGUGAUCAGUGCAGAAAUAUGUCUCAAUGCCCCCAUAGGCAGAUCCAACACAAGAGUUACAUCACCUGGGUGAUCAGUGUAGAGAUAUGUCACAAUGCCCCCGUAGACAGAGCCUAGACAAAAGUCCCAUCACCUGGGUGAUCAGUGCAGAGAUAUGUCACAAAGCCCCUGUAGGCAGAGCCUAGACAAGAGUUACAUCACUUUGUUGAUCAGUUCAGAGAUGUGUCACAAUGCCCAUGUAGGCAGAGCCUAGACAAGUGUUCCAUCACCUGGGUGAUCAGUGCAGAGAUAUGUGACAAGGCCCCUUUAAGCAGAGCCUAGACAAUAGUUACAUCACCUGAGUGAUCAAUGCAGUGAUAUGUCACUAUGCCCCAGUAGGCAGAGCCUAGUCAAGCGUUACAUCACCUGAGUGAUCAGUGCAGAGAUAUGUCACAAAGCCCCCAUACACAGAGCCUAGACAACAGUCCCAUCCCCUGGGUGAUCAGUGCAGAAAUAUGUCACAAUGCCCCCAUAGGCAGAUCCAACACAAGAGUUACAUCACCUGGGUGAUCAGUGUAGAGAUAUGUCACAAUGCCCCCAUAGGCAGAGCGUAGACAAAAGUCCCAUCACCAGGGUGAUCAGUGCAGAGAUAUGUCACAAAGCCCCCAUAGGCAGAGCCUAGACAAGAGUUACAUCACUUGGUUGAUCAGUUCAGAGAUGUGUCACAAUGCCCAUGUAGGCAGAGCCUACACAAGUGUUACAUCACUUAGGUGAUCAGUGCAGAGCUAUGUCACAAUACCCCCGUAAGCAGAGCCUAGACAAGAGUUACAUCACCUGGUUGAUCAGUGCAGAGAUAUCUCACAAUGUCCCUGCAGGCAGAGUGUAGACAAGAGUUACAUCACCUAGAUGAUCAGUGCAGAGAUAUUUCACAAUGCCCCCUGUAGGCAGAGCCUAGACAAGAAUUAUAUUACCUGGAUGAUCAGUACGGUGAUAUGUCACUAUGCCCCCUGUGGGCGGAGCCUAGACAAGAGUUACAUCACCUGGGUGAUAAGGGCAGAGAUAUGUCACAAUGCUCCAGUAGGCAGAGCCUAGACAAGAGUCCUAUCACCUGGGUGAUCAGUGCAGAAAUAUGUCACAAUGCCCCCAGUAGACAGAGCCUAGACAAGAGUUACAUCACCUGGGUGAUCAGUGCAGAAAUAUGUUGCAAUGCCCCCAUAGGCAGAUCCAACACAAGAGUUACAUCACCUGGGUGAUCAGUGCAGAGAUAUGUAACAAUGCCCCCAGUAGGCAGAGCCUAGAGGAGAGUUACAUCAUCUGGGUGAUCUUUGCAGAGAUAUGUCACAAUCCUCCAAGUAAGCAGAGCCUAGACAAAAGUUACAUCAUCUGGGCGAUCAGUGCAGAGACAAGUCACAAAACCCACAUAGGAAAAGACUAGACAAGAGUUACAUCAUCUGGGUCAUCAGUGCAGACAUAUGUCAAAGCUGCCGUAGGCAGAGUGUAGACAAGUAUUACAUCACUUGGGUGAUCAGUGCAGAGAUCUAUCACAGUGCCCCCAUAGGCAGAGCCUAGACAAGAGUUCCAUCACCUGUGUGAUCAGUGUAGAGAUAUGUCACAAUGCCUCCUGUAGGCAGAGGCUAGACAAGAGUUACAUCACCUGGAUUUUGUUUCCUGCAAUAUGUCACAAUGGCGAGGGUGAGGGUUAGGGUUAGGGUGAGGGUCAGGGUGAGGGUCAGGGUGAGGGUCAGGGUGAGGGUGAGGGUCAGGGUGAGGGUGAGGGUUAGGGUUAGGGUGAGCAUUAGGUUUAGGGUUAGGGUUAGGGUUAGGGGUUAGGCUUAGGCUUAGGGUAAGGCUUAGGGUUCAGGUUCAAGUUUGGAUUCGGGUUCGGGUUCAGGUUAAGAGUUAGGGUUAGGGUUACGGGUUAGGGUUAGGGGUUAGGGUUAGGUGUUAGGGCUGGGUUAGGUUUAGGGUUAGGGUUAUGGGUUACGGUUAGGGUUAGGGUUUAGGGUUAGGGUUAGGGUUAGGAUUGGGGUUAGGUUUAGGGUUAGGGUUAGGGUUAGGUUUAGGGUUGGGUUAGGGUUAGGAUUGGG